rnacentral:tRNA from 1 species
GCCGGGAUAGCUCAGUUGGUAGAGCAGGGGACUGAAAAUCCUCGUGUCACCAGUCAAAAAUAAUAAGUCCGUA